GAUGAACGCUGGCGGCGUGCCUAAUACAUGCAAGUCGAGCGAACAGACGAGGAGCUUGCUCCUUUGACGUUAGCGGCGGACGGGUGAGUAACACGUGGGUAACCUACCUAUAAGACUGGGAUAACUUCGGGAAACCGGAGCUAAUACCGGAUAAUAUUUCGAACCGCAUGGUUCGAUAGUGAAAGAUGGCUUUGCUAUCACUUAUAGAUGGACCUGCGCCGUAUUAGCUAGUUGGUAAGGUAAUGGCUUACCAAGGCAACGAUACGUAGCCGACCUGAGAGGGUGAUCGGCCACACUGGAACUGAGACACGGUCCAGACUCCUACGGGAGGCAGCAGUAGGGAAUCUUCCGCAAUGGGCGAAAGCCUGACGGAGCAACGCCGCGAGAGUGAUGAAGGUCUUCGGAUCGUAAAACUCUGUUAUUAGGGAAGAACAAACGUGUAAGUAACUGUGCACGUCUUGACGGUACCUAAUCAGAAAGCCACGGCUAACUACGUGCCAGCAGCCGCGGUAAUACGUAGGUGGCAAGCGUUAUCCGGAAUUAUUGGGCGUAAAGCGCGCGUAGGCGGUUUUUUAAGUCUGAUGUGAAAGCCCACGGCUCAACCGUGGAGGGUCAUUGGAAACUGGAAAACUUGAGUGCAGAAGAGGAAAGUGGAAUUCCAUGUGUAGCGGUGAAAUGCGCAGAGAUAUGGAGGAACACCAGUGGCGAAGGCGACUUUCUGGUCUGUAACUGACGCUGAUGUGCGAAAGCGUGGGGAUCAAACAGGAUUAGAUACCCUGGUAGUCCACGCCGUAAACGAUGAGUGCUAAGUGUUAGGGGGUUUCCGCCCCUUAGUGCUGCAGCUAACGCAUUAAGCACUCCGCCUGGGGAGUACGACCGCAAGGUUGAAACUCAAAGGAAUUGACGGGGACCAGCACAAGCGGUGGAGCAUGUGGUUUAAUUCGAAGCAACGCGAAGAACCUUACCAAAUCUUGACAUCCUUUGACCCUUCUAGAGAUAGAAGUUUCCCCUUCGGGGGACAAAGUGACAGGUGGUGCAUGGUUGUCGUCAGCUCGUGUCGUGAGAUGUUGGGUUAAGUCCCGCAACGAGCGCAACCCUUAAGCUUAGUUGCCAUCAUUAAGUUGGGCACUCUAAGUUGACUGCCGGUGACAAACCGGAGGAAGGUGGGGAUGACGUCAAAUCAUCAUGCCCCUUAUGAUUUGGGCUACACACGUGCUACAAUGGACAAUACAAAGGGCAGCGAAACCGCGAGGUCAAGCAAAUCCCAUAAAGUUGUUCUCAGUUCGGAUUGUAGUCUGCAACUCGACUACAUGAAGCUGGAAUCGCUAGUAAUCGUAGAUCAGCAUGCUACGGUGAAUACGUUCCCGGGUCU
rnacentral:rRNA from 1 species